rnacentral:rRNA from 1 species
UGGCGGACGGGUGAGUAACGCGUGGGUAACCUGCCUCGUACAGGGGGAUAACAGUUAGAAAUGACUGCUAAUACCGCAUAAGACCACAGCACCGCAUGGUGCAGGGGUAAAAACUCCGGUGGUAUGAGAUGGACCCGCGUCUGAUUAGGUAGUUGGUGGGGUAACGGCCUACCAAGCCGACGAUCAGUAGCCGACCUGAGAGGGUGACCGGCCACAUUGGGACUGAGACACGGCCCAG